rnacentral:rRNA from 1 species
GGAUGAACGCUUUCCGCAGGCUUGAGACAUGCAAGUCAGGGGUAGGUUACUUCGGCUAACUGAGACCGGCGCACGGGUGCGUAACGCGUAUACAAUGCUACCUUUUUAUCAGGAGGGAUAAGCCCCACAGAAAAUUUGGAAUUAAUACCCUCAUAGUAUUUUUGAAUGGCAUGCAUUUGAUUAUUAAAGUUCCAGACGGUUAAAAGGAUGAGUAUGGCGUCCCAUUAGGCUAGGAUGGUAAAGGUAACGGCUUACCAUGGCUAACGAUGGGUAGCGGGUCCUUGAGAGGGGAGAUCCCCCACACUUGGUACUGAGACACGGACCAGACUCCUACGGGAGGCAGCAGUGGGGAAUAUUGGACAAUGGGCGCAAGCCUGAUGCCAGCCAUGCCGCGUGAGUGAUGAAGGCCUUAGGGUUGAAAGCUCUUUUAGCAGGGACGAUAAUGACGGUACCUGCAGAAAAAGCCCCGGCCAACUUCGUGCCAGCAGCCGCAGUAAUACGAAGGGUCCAAGCGUUAUCCGGAAUCAUUGGGUUUAAAGGGUCCGUAGGCGGCCAAAUAAGUCAAGUGGUGAAAGCCCAUCGCUCAACGAUGGAACGGCCAUUGAUACUGUUUGGCUUGAACUAUUAGGGAAGUAACUAGAAUAUGUAGUGUAGCGGUGAAAUGCUUAGAGCAUUACAUGGAAUACCAAUUGCGAAGGCAGGUUACUACUAAUCAUAUUGACGCUGAUGGACGAAACCGUGGGGAGCGAACAGGAUUAAUACCCUGGUAGUCCACGCCGUAAACGAUGGAUACUAGCUGUUGGAGCAAUCUGAGUGGUAACGCGAAAGUGAUAAGUAUCCCUCGGGAGUACGGGA